GUGCCCUAGGGGGGCAGCAGUGAGGAAUAUUGGUCAAUGGCCGGAAGGCUGAACCAGCCAAGCCGCGUGAAGGACGAAGGUGCCAAGCAUUGUAAACUUCUUUUGUCAAGGGACAAAAUCAGGCUCGAGAGCCUGACCGAGGGUACUUGAAGAAAAAGCAUCGGCUAACUCCGUGCCAGCAGCCGCGGUAAUACGGAGGAUGCGAGCGUUAUCCGGAUUUAUUGGGUUUAAAGGGUGCGUAGGCGGGCUGUUAAGUCAGCGGUAAAAGCCCGGGGCUCAACCCCGGCGAGCCGUCGAAACGGGCG
rnacentral:rRNA from 1 species